UGGUUCUGGCAUNGAUGAAGAACGCAGCGAAAUGCGAUAAGUAAUGUGAAUUGCAGAAUUCAGUGAAUCAUCGAAUCUUUGAACGCACAUUGCGCCCGCCAGCAUUCUGGCGGGCAUGCCUGUUCGAGCGUCAUUUCAACCCUCGAGCCCCCCCGGGGGCCUCGGUGUUGGGGGACGGCACACCAGCCGCCCCCGAAAUGCAGUGGCGACCUCGCCGCAGCCUCCCCUGCGUAGUAGCACACACCUCGCACCGGAGCGCGGAGACGGUCACGCCGUAAAACGCCCAACUUCUUAGAGUUGACCUCGGAUCAGGUAGGAAUACCCGCUGA
rnacentral:misc_RNA from 1 species